UUUCGGUACGCGGGCCUCUCACUGUUGUGGCCUCAGCGGCCAUGGCUCAUGGGCCUAGUCGCUCCGCGGCAUGUGGGAUCUUCCCAGACCGGGGUACGAACCCGUGUCCCCUGCAUCGGCAGGCGGACUCUCAACCAUUGCGCCACCAGGGAAGCAACCUCCCUCGAUUUUUUAUCAGAAAAAUAAAAACAUUUAUUUUAGAGGAUUUCUAAAUUCCUAAUUGCAGAUAUAAAUAUCGGUUUGGAAAAUGGCUGAGUGUAAUCAAAAAUAUCAUCUUCCUUAUAACAUUGGAAGUUUUGUAGUAACCAGAGAUGCUGCCCCUCUACUUCCCUCCUCCUCCUCCUCCUACUAACUCCUGUCCACAAUUCAAAGGAGGCAAUAGAAAAUCCUUUUAAACCGCCAUUUAGCUAGAAGUAAACUUAAAAGUGUGAUCAGGAAUAGAAACAAUAUAAGUGCUUAAAAGCUGUGAAAGUAAAUUUUGAUGAUUGCCCAAGUAUCUAGUAGCUUUUGUGUCAAUAUUCUGCUUAAAAAAUAUAAAUUUAGGGCUUCUCUGGUGGCGCAGUGGUUGAGAGUCCGCCUGCCGAUGCAGGGCACACGGGUUCGUGCCCCGGUCCGGGAAGAUCCCACAUGCCGCAGAGCGGCUGGGCCCGUGAGCCGUGGCCGCUGAGCCUGCGCGUCCGGGGCCUGUUGCUCCGCAACGGGAGAGGCCACAACAUUGAGAGGCCCGCGUACCGCAAAAAAAAAAAAAAAAUAUAUAUAUAUAUAUAUAUAUAUAUAUAAAAAUUUACAUGAAUAAUGAAUUAUUAUUAUGAUUUGCCUUUGAACAGCCUGUUUUCCCCUAAUUUAUUGCUAUGGGGAAUUGCACUAUUUUGCCUUAUUUCAGAAAAAAAAACAUCUGCUUUUGUGGAAAACCAUCCUCAUCCUGUAACCUUUUAGUCCUUUUUUUCUCAAGAUUUUUGAACUUGUAAGCACCAAUUAUAACAUCUCUUGGGGAUAUGAUAAAAUUAUGUUUAAAACUCACAUUAAAGCUAUAGACUUCCAUUAGUGCUCUGUAUAACAGCCUUAUCCCCACAGACUUUGCAAAUUAUAUUUAAGGAAUUAGGGAACUUCCUUUCUUAAUUUUAUUCUCAUUAAUUCUUCUAGGAAAUUUAUUCAUUAAAUAGGAUGGGUUGUUAAACUAUGUCCAUUAAUUGUGUAAGGCUUGUUACUAGUCAAAUGUCAGGGCUCUGAGUAGGUAGGAUUUCAUGAUCACGUAUAGCUUUCUUAAUACUCACGAUCUUGUUCUCACAUUCCCCACCACCAAAGUCUUUCAUUUCACUAUUUGUUCUUACUUGCUCCUACCAGUAACUCCACUUAGAUCCUCUCAUCCCACCUCCUUUCCCAUAACUCUUUCCUCACAGUAAGUUUCAUUUUUCCCACUUACAUUUAGUCACAUCUGCUCUGAUCUGUAGAUGUAUUUUGACUUAAACCCUAGGCAGAUGAACAGAGGCAACACUGUCAACCUGUCCAAGAACACAGCAGUUGUGGAGGGUAGAUAAGCAGGUGGUAACAAGAGCAUCCAAGUGAAUCUGGGCCAAGCCUGGGGACCUACUGAGCUGGCACAGCUCAGAGGCAGUAACGAGAAGGCAACGUGAAGCAGGAGACAUCACCUUUACUAACUGAGUGUGCCCAUGUACAAUUAUGUAUGCCACAUUUGUGCACAACAUCACCAUUCUCAAAACCCAAACCCACAGAUCUGAGGCCAGCAACUCUAGUUAACCCUCACACAGGACUUCCCACAUGCUAGGCACUGUGGGAAGCUCUUUAAGUGUAUCAACUCAUUUAAUCCUUCAGCAACCUUACAAGGGAUAAAACCUGGAUAAAAUGAAUAUUGAGAGCAGGCUUGACCCACAAAAUCAAGGAUACAGCAGUAGAGCACAGAGGUAAGCAGCAGAAAGCAGACGUGUUACAGCAGAAAUGCACUCCCAGCUAAAGGAAAGGCCUGUCACAAAACAGCAGCUCCAAGGACAGGUGUGGGUGUGGGUGUGGGUCUUGUUCCGAGGUAACCAAGUCUGACCUGCUCUUCAGAGAGUGGGAAGAGGGCAGGAUUAUGGGCUGCUUAUUGCCCACGAGUAGGCUCAAAGACUCAGAUUUCACAGCCUGAAGGGAACUUAGGUCUCCCAUCUCAACUCAUAACUGCUACAAAAUAAGGAACCGAAAAGCAGAGAAGUGAAGUGAUAGGCCCAAGCAGCUCAAAGGACCACAAGCCUAUUUUUUGUCAUUUUGGGGUUUUUGGGGCAUGAUGGGGGAGGUGUCGAGGGACAGUUUAGCACCCAUGCCUCCUCUUCCUGCUGUGAGUCACUGAGCAGCCCAGCACAGAAGGUCUGACGAAAAACAAGGGGCCGCAGAAGCAAUUGCUCCAGUAUGACCUGCUUUGUAAACAGUGCUAGGCGCCGGGCAUGUCUUAUGAAGGAAUUCACCAAAAAAAAAGAUCUUUUCCUUAGAAACUCCUCUAACCUCCAAAGUUUGGUUUUAAUUGCUUUUGGCAAAAUUUUAGAACCUUCAGUCUGUUCCAGGCCCUGGGCUAGAUAGAUGAAUCUAGAUGCAAUAAUGAAUAAGCCAUAUACUUCUAGGAGUUCUAAGUCUCAUAGGGAAUCAUAAGUGGAUAAAAAUGAUUAUGAUAUGAUCUGAUAAAUAUAAUAAUAUCUGUAGCACAGAAGAGGAAGUGAAUAAUUGCUGAGGGAGGGGAGCCCAGGGAGGUAGACAGAGAAAGCUUCACAAAGGUGACAUCAGAGAAGGUGUAGAAGCAAAAAUAGGAACGCUUCAGACCUCCAACUCCAACUUUAAAAUAACAGCAGUAAGUCAGCCUUCCCUGAAACACCACUGUUAUUCCUCAAGGAUUCACAAAGCAACGGUUCUUGCCCCCACUGACCUCUCAUUCCGUAAUGGAAGCUAUACACAUUCAUAUACCAUUUAUGAAAGUAAAUGAUAGAUAAAAUGACUCCACUGGCACCAUCAGCCAGGACCAGCAGGGUUAGACUGACCUCCAGAGACUCUGUGCGCCAAAAAGUUGAUGCUGCUGCCCACAUGUAACUGAAUAUCCAACAAUGCCUUCAGUCAAAUGCCUGUAAGGAAGUCCAGCAAAGUUCUGACUUUUCCUACAAUAACACCUUUUAUACAUUCCUAAAAAUAUCUAAUAGCCACUUACUACCAUAAAAGAUUUUUUUCAUUAUUUUGGUACCUCUGCCUUGCUGGUGCCCAAACAUAUGUCUGGCCUGCCUGCGGGAGAUCCUGCCUGCGGAGGCAGCCCUCUUCCACUCUGAGACAGCCCAGGUGAGGCUGGCCUCAGCAAGUCCACAUCUCUGUUCUCAACCAAGUGGACAUAAAGCUGUUCGUUCAAUUCCUCACAUAGCACAUGCGUUAUGAUUUAGUUCUUCAUCCCUUUCUGUCAUUAAAUACUCACUUGCAACUCAGGAAGGCCAUCUGAAGGCCCAGUGGUCUGGUUAACCAGAAAGAAAGGCUGAUGUGAGAAGCGAUUAACAGCUCUUAGCAGUUCACAGCUGUAGGAAGACUGUGUUACAUUGAAGCAUUUAUAAGCACAGGCUUUUGAAACAGACAUGACUAGGUUCAACACUUGCUCUUUCACUUCACCAUGUGAUCUUGGGCAGGUUACUUUACACUGGCAAGCCCAAGUUUUAUCUUCUAUAAAAUGUGCUUAAUAAUAGCACCUGCCUCAUGAGGUCAUUCUUUCAACAAAUAUUUAAUAUGCUCCUACUCUGUGCCAGGCACUAUGCUUGAAGAGGGAGAUUCAGCAGUGAACAAACAAAAAUCCCUGCCCUAGAGCUUACACUCUAGUGGAAGAAGACAGACAACACAAAUAAAUAAAUAGACUAUAUAUUAUGUUAGAAAGGAAAGGGGCAUUGGGAGGGUUGUCGUCUUUGAUGGAGUGACCAGAAGAGGCUGAGUGAGGAGGGGACUCGGUGGAUGCAGGAGAGCAGCAGGUGGACAUUCGAGGGGCAGCCUUCCAGCCAAAGGGAACAGCUGAGCAGAGGCCCUGAGGCCGGAGCAGGCCUAGCUUUUUUUUUUUUUUUUUUUUUAAAUAUUUUUAUUGGAGGCCUAGCAUAUUUGAGGAGCAGUGAGUCCGGCUGGAACCAACUGAGGGUGGGGACAGAGGACGGAAGUGAGGUCAGAGAGUACGAGAGCAGAGGAGUGGCAUGUGCUGACUCAUAUUUGAAGAAGAUCACUGGGCUGCAGGGGUGAGAAGGACUUAGGAGGGCAGGGGUGGAAGCUGGGAAACCAGCUAGGAAACUUGCAGUGAUCCAGGAGAGAGAUGAGCAUGCUCCGUCCUCACCUUGGCGCCUGACCCCAGCCAACUCUGGAUAAGGAUAUGAUUCCACGCACGCACAUCUGGCAAGGGAAGAGCUCAGCUUUGUUCUCUUUUCUGCAUCUUUCUCAGCCAGUCCAUCUAGUGCCCACAUCAUCAUCUUCCUUAAUCAUUCUGCUGUCAGUCUUCUUCCCCUUGUCUUCUCUCUCUCCCUCCUCACUCUGCUGUCUGCCUUUUUUCACACUUAUGAAUGGUCUGUUUUUCCAGGGCACAAUUUGGGGGGCAUUGUUCUGGGUCUUGGGGAGAGAGCAGUGUGCCUUUUGGCCUGUGGGUUCCAUGGGGCACAUGAGAAGGAUAAGGGAACAAAGAUGGGGUGAUAGGCACUUAAGGUGCCCAAAGAGACAGCUCUGCCAUGAAGGUUAUACCAAUGCCACAGGCAGAGCUUUUGUUGCCUGGUCAGAGUUCAGCCAGGAAAAAAGAAGCUUCUGAGUGUUUUGGGUAAUUCCUAAAAUACCGAUAAUUCAGGGAGUUAGAGGCUGACACCACCAUUGGAUAGACCAAGAGAGCAAAGAUCAAAAGGCCAUUUUCAGGAAAUCAGGAAGUAUGGGGAUUAUAGAGAAACCAGCACCAAUAACCUCAUAGCCUUCAGCACCAAAGGAACUUCAUUGAUACUAGCCACCAACUUGGUGUCACAAUACUAGGUAGGUCGUCACCGUGGGCUGGAGGGGUUUUUCCAGAAGCAAUUUCGGUGGUGGGACUAAUAGCCAUGACUUAACUAUACAUAGAAUUGUCUGAAAAUUACAUAGCCCACUAAAGCCAAGCUCAAUGUGUCCCCAACUCAACUUCCUCUUAGUCAGAACCUCAGGAUGCCCAUGGCUGCUCUUAUCCCCCCAAUAAGGUGAGAGAAGGAAAGUCAGAGUGGAUAGAGACAGGGCCUUUAAUUGUGAUUUAAAAUAUCUUAUUUUUGCUAAUUUUAUAAAAACAUAUGGCCCUGUGCACAUGUUGCUAAGGAUCCUCCCAGGGCCCUGGAAGGUGUGCCACAAGUGACACUCCCAAAGCUUCAGCUUCUCGUGGAAAAUCUGCCUCUGCCUAGAACAGAAGGAGUUUACCUUCACUGGCCAGAGAGCUGACCAUAGGAAGGGGCUUCAGACCAGUGUGAAGGAUUUCCUUGGGUGUUGUUUGUAGCAGUAAUGUUUUAUUCAGCUUGAGAGUUGCUAAUAACAUUACUAGAUGUUUAUUAAAUUAAUACAAAUUUGAAUUAGUAGAUAAUGAGCCACUUUAUGAAGCCUUUAUACUCAGACCUCUGAAUCACUCCCUUUUUGUCUACAGGCCCCUAGCUUGCCCAUUCAACAAAAAUUUAUAGAGGGCAUCCUCUGUGCAGGUGCUGUGCUAAGCUCACCAUGAUGAGGAAAGUAAACAUGAGGCCCCUGCCUUUAUGAGGCCCUCAGGGGAAGAGACAAAUAAUCAAAUAAUCAUCCAGGUCUCUAAUUACAGGACUAAAGAAGAAACGUUCAGGGUCCUACUGAGAGUGUAGGUUGAGGAAGCCUAGUCUAGUGGAGGUGACAGGAAUGACUGAAGGAUUCCUUCUUUCAACAGUUAUUUUCCAGUGUCUACUCUUUGCACACACAGUGCUAGGGUCCAGGAUAAUGGUGAGCAAAAACUGCAGCAUCCCUGCCCCCCUAGAGCUCUCUCCUGGAGGAGGCAUUUUUACAGAAUAAGAUUGCAUCUAUCUGUAAAUGACCACCUGAUGAUGGCCUCCAUGAACGGGUGAUGCAGGUGAAUACGUGGGCAUGUGCGCUGAGGGUUGGUGCAGUAGGACAGGCUUUUUGAAGGGGCCACAGUGCACUGAGAACCAGAGGCAGAGUUAACUGAUGGGUGAGAGGUGGAAGGGCUUAAGGACAGUCUUCUAGGCAAAAGGAAGUGCAGGAGAAAAGGCCCAGGGACAGGAGGACAUAGGGAAAGAAAAGGACGAAAAGAGGCCAGCAUGGCUAGGGCACCUCUAGGGGAGGGCAGGAGAGAGUAUGCCUACAUGUGGCUGGAAAGACAGGAACAGACCCAUGAGCCUAACACAACUGGGAGCCAACAACAAAAUAAAUAAACAAACAAAUAAAACCAAACAAAAACAAACAUGUAGAUACAGAGAACAGAGCAGACGGGAAGAGGGGAAAGGGUGAGGGAAGAUGAAAUAGGUAAAGGGGAUCAAUGUAUGGUGACAGAUGGAAACUAAAUCUUCAGUGGUGAGCACACUGUGGUGUAUACAGAAGUAGAAAAAUAAUGUUGUACAUGUGAAACUUAUAUAAUGAUAUAAAGCAAUGUUACCUCAAUAAAAAAAAAUUUUAAACCUUAGAAAUAAAUAAUGAAUUAAUAAAUUAAUCAGAAGAGGGGGCUUCCCUGGUGGCGCAGUGGUUAACAAUCCGCCUGCCAAUGCAGGGGACAUGGGGUCGAGCCCUGGUCCGGGAAGAUCCCACAUGCCACGGAGCAACUAAGCCCAUGCGCCACAACUACUGAGCCUGCAUUCUGGAGCCCGUGAGCCACAACUACUGAAGCCUGAGUGCCUAGAGCCCGUGCUCAGCAACAAGAAAAGCCACCGCAGUGAGAAGCCCAUGCACCACAACGAAGAGUAGCCCCUGCUCGCUGCAACUAGAGAAAGCCUGCACAUAGCAAUGAAGACCCAAUGCAGCCAAAAAAAAUUAAAAUUAAUUAAUUUAAAAAAAAUUAAUCAGAAGAUUCUGAGGAAUGGAGAGACAUGGCCCAAUUGGCACUUACAAGGAUCUCUCUGGCUGCAGCGAGAAUAUUGGAUUACGAGGGAUGCUUUGGCAGUAGCUGCAUCUUAAUUACGUCCCCCUUUCUCACUUUCCUUUCCGGUAGCAGCGGAGAUUUAAAUAAAUGCAUGCCUGAUACGCAGCUAAAAGCUCCCCAACAAUGAAGGGCUGUGUAGCCAGGAGAAGAGUACACUGCCUUCAGUCAGGCACAUUAGAUCUCCCCUCCACCUCCAGUCGGCUGGUGGUACUGGACAAGUCACUCACCCUCUUUGAAACCCACUCUCCACCUAGUCUAUAAAGUGGAAGAACAAUGCCUACUCCACCAAGUUGCAUGAGUAAUAGAAAAAGUGUCUACAAAUUACCUGGCAUUUGGCAGAACUCAGGACAUACCAGCUGUUAUUGGAAGUAACUGCAAGAUGGUCAAGCUAGUCAGAGGAAGAUUUCUAACCAAAAGUUAUACUAGUGAAAGCCCUGGGAAUAGAUUACAAUCUCUCCUGUUGAAAAUAUAUAAAUAUAUGCAAUAUUAUACAUUUACUUAAAUACUACAUUUUUAAUAGAGGCCUGUCUAAUAAAAUCUUCCUAAUACUGGUGUGUUAAAACAAGUCUAUAUUACUUAUGCAGUUAAAAUAUAUGUCUAUACAGUAAAGUUUAAAAGCUUCUCAGUAAAUUAUAUUGUACAUGAAUUGACUUAUCUCUGGUCUUUUCCUGUAUGCAGUUGUUUUCUAGAGAAACUGAACUCAUUUGUUAGCCUGUCCAUACCCCAGACUGAACAACAUUAGCUUCUCAAGAAAGAUUUUAUCUGUUUCUCCAGAGCCUACUAGAGAGCCUAGCACUCGGUAGUAGGUGCUCAGUAAAUACCUGCAGAAUGGAAAAAUAAAGAAAGAAUUAAUAAAUUUAACUUGUGAGUCUGGCAACAAUAUCUUAUGAACCAAAAUCAAGAUACAUUUGUCUGGUCUACACAAUAUGAGUCUCUUAGAGAGAACUUGGCAUGGAAUAUUUUAUAUCCAGACUGUUCUGGAAAUUUCAGGAUGUAUUAUGUGAUUAGAUACACCUCAAAUAGCUGUAUCUGUUUUAACUGAGCUACAACAAGUAGCUAUAACAAGUUCCACUGUGAGCCUGUGUUUUACUUAUUUUUCAGCAUAAAAAUUGUUCCAAGUCCUUUGUUCAUAGUAGAAGGAACAAUCUAGAAGAUUUUAAAGGAUGUCUGUUUAACCAUUAACACAAGGACUCAGGAUCUGCUUUUCUCUUACCUUGCUCACUAUAAUUAAUUAGUUGCCCUGAUCAGAACAUUUCUGUCACACACACACAAAAAAGCAAGUGAAACAGCGAUACAUUUGGUUUGCUAAGCACAGCUGAAGCUAGCUCAACAGAAUGUCAAUUCAAAAGAGGGAAAUAAAAUAUGCAGCAAAGCAGGGAGGCAGGGAACAAAGAAUCCAGUAUAACAAUUAACAGGAGAGCCAAACCAACAUUCAGAACACCAUCAGGAAGGUAAAAAGCCUCAAGUGUCUAGAAAAGAGAAAAACUGGAGGGGAAAUGCUGAGAGGACCUGGAAGGACCAAUUUAAAUCAAUGAAGAAAUUUAGGACUUUGUUUUAAAGGAGUAUUUUUUAAAGUCAGGUUUAUUGAAAUAUAAUUUGUAUACAAUAAAAUUCACCCUCAGUGUAUAGUUCUGUGAGUUUUAAACAUCACAUACAGUUGUGUAGUUACCAUCACAAUCAAGAUAUAGAACUGUUUCCCCUUUUUAAUCGACUGCUGCCUCACCCUUAGCUCCUAGCAACCACUAUCCUGUGUUCUGUCCCUCUAGUUGUGCCUGCUUUAAAGGAGUUUAAUAACAGAACUUAAAAUGGGGGGGAAAAGGGAACUGAGAUUUUUUUUUUCCCUACACCCACUCACUUUCUUUACCCUUCAAUAGGUGAACUUAUAUUUAUUUAGUAUCUAUUAUUUGCCAAAGAUUUUACAUACAUCAUCUUUCAUUUUUACAGCUUGUCCAUGAAGGAAGUUAUCCCCAUUUCCCAGAUGGGAGGUUAGAGUCAAAGUGGUGCCAAGCUAGUAAGAGGCAGGGCCAAGAUUCAAAAUCAAAGUUGACCAAAAAAUGACACCAUGGCCUAUCUCUGGGUGUUAGAUUAUAGCUGAUUUGAACUUUCUUCUUUGCACAUUAUUUGUAUUAUCAAAGUUUUCAACUAUGAGCUUAUAUUAUUUAUUUUCGUAACCAGUACAUAUACUUUCAUAAGUGUAUAUGUGUGUGUGUGUGUGUGUGUAUAUAUAUAUAUAUAUAUAUAUAUAUAUAUAUAUAUACACACACACACACACACUAUAUAAGUACAUACAUACAUACAGGGUCUGAUUCUCUUUGCUGAGCAAAAAGGGGAAAGGUAGGAAAAACAGUUUAAAAGAGGGUAAAUGAAAGUCUCCACUUAACAACUGGCACUCAGCUGAGAACCCAGAAUCAAAUUUACCAAAAGAACCAGAGCACAGAUUUGCUCUGUCUCUAUAUCUUAUCAGAGUCUAACUUCUCUACCUUUAAAAAGUUCUGUGGAACAAACGCUCUCCCAAAGUGCUGAUGAUAAGCCUUGGAGGCCUGUAAAAACCCAUUAGGCUACUCAGACCCAAAAGACAGUCCUCCUAAGCAUCUUGCUGCUUCAUCUCCACAAGACCCGGUAGGAACAAGCUAACCAUCCUGGUCAAGUGAGUGCACAGCCGCAUUUCACCACUCCUGGAGAGGCAGGAAAGUGAAUAACUUAAGGCCAAGGCUAAAGGAAACACAGAGCACCUUUUAUUGUGGAGGAGGGGAAUUAUAUUUUAAUAUGUCUAUGUUGGGAGAAUAUUACCCAUCACAGCACUUCAAGGAGACUCAUGAGGGCAUCCUCUGGCCUUUAGGCAGAAUCCAAUUAUUGCUUGUUUCAAAAAUAUUUGAGGGAUCUUACAAAAACAUAUAAAGUACAAGAUUUUUUAAAAAAUAGAUUGGGUACCGGAACUAGGUACCCAAAUGGAAAAACAACGGACCUUGACCCCCUACCUCACGUUAUACACAGUUAAUUCAAGAGGGAAUCACAGACCAAAAUGUAAAAGUGGAAACUCUAAAGCUUCUGGAAAAAGAUAGAGGAGAAUAUCUUCACAACUUGGAAUAGCAAGGUUUUCUUAGACAGGAUAAGCAAUAACCAUUUAAAAAUUGAUAAAUUAGAUUAUACCAAAAUUUUGAACUUUUGCUCAUAAAAAGACAGUGUUGGUGAAGUACAAAAGAAAUAUACCAUAGACUAAUAUAAAAUAUUUGCAAGACAUAUAUCUGACAAAGAAUUAGUAUCUAAAAUAUGUAAAGAACUCCUACACCUCAAAAAUUUGAAAAACCAAACAACUCAGUUUGGAUUGACUUAAAUAGACACAUCACAAUGGAAGAUACGUUAAUGGCCUAUAAGCCAUUUAAAAGAUACUCAAUAUCAUUAAUUAUCAGGGAAAUACAAGUUAAAGCCACAGUGAGAUAUUACUACUUUCAUGAAUAGCUAAAAUAAAUAAUAAUUUUAAAAAAGCAGACUGACAAUACUAAAUGUUGGGAGAACAUAGAACAACCUGAACUCUCAUACAGUGGUGUUGGUAUAAUCACUUUGGGAAAAGGACUGACAGUUUCCUAUGAAAUUAAACAUACAUCUACCCUAUGACCCAGCAUUUCCACUCCUAGGUAUGUAGCCAACAGUUGUGAAAGCAUUUCCCCAAAGAGACUUAAAAACAUUCACAGCAGCUAUAAUUGUUAAGCAAACUGAGGUGUAUUCAUACAAUGGAAUACUAAUCAGCAGUAUAAAGAAACAAAUUAUGGAACACAUAAUAAUGUGGAUGAAUCUUUAAACAUUAUGCUGAGUGAAAAAAUGAUUUAUAUAAGAGUACUUACUGUGUGAUUCCAUUUAUAUGAAUUUCUAAAACAGGUAAAACUAAUCUAUGGUGGAAAAAAAAAUCAGAACAGUAUUUGCCUCUGAAGUUGUGAGGAUGAAGGUAGAAACAUGAGGGGAUUUGCUGGACUGAUGGGAAUAUUCUGUAUCUUGAUCAGGAUUUGUGUUACACAAAUGUAUCCACUUGUCAAAAAUCACUGAAUGGUAUACUUGAGGUAUGUGCACUUUGUUGUAUGUAAAUUUUACCUCACUGAAAAAAAACUAAAAAACAUAAAUAUCGAACUUUGGUUAAUGCUAUGCAUACUAAAAUGUAUAGAGGUAAAGUGUAUAUAUGUUUGAAAUUUACUUUGAAACAUAUCAAAGAGUUAUUGAAAAGGGGGAUGGAUAUAUGGAAAGACAUGCGAUAAAGCAAGUACAGUAAAAGGUUAAUCAUGGAAUCCAGAUGGUGGGUAUAUGGGUGUUAACCAUAAAAUUCUUUCAUCUUUUCUAGAUAUUCAAAAAAAAUGAAAUGUUGGAAAAAAUAAGUUAGAAUUAGGAGAAAAGAAACAUAAAGGUCAGCAAAAAAGAUGAAACUGAAGUUAGAACCUUAUAAAGAAGUACAUACCUGUGUUAGAGUUUCCUAAGAGCCAAAGCAAAACGGUAGAGAGGGUGAUGUGCAGGAGAGGAAGAGGAAGAGUCAUAAGGGAAGGAGGAAAAGAGAGAGAGAUCUCAGUUACAUAAUUAGCAAUACCCAUAUGAUUGAAAAAAAUUGUUCUAGUAAAGCGCCAUUUUCCUGAUACAGACAAGUUUUCAUGAAGAAGGCACUGUGCAAUGUGUGCACGUGGUUCUAUUAAUUAGGUUAAGGACUUGGAACAGAGACUUUACUUUUUUUUUUUUUAAAUUGAGUUUUGAACUUUAUUUAUUUAUUUAUUUUUGGCUGCGUUGGGUCUUCGUUGCUGCGCGCAGGCUUUCUCUAGUUGUGGCGAGUGGGGGCUACUCUUCGUUGUGGUGCGCGGGCUUCUCAUUGCAGUGGCUUCUCUUGUUGCAGAGCACAGGCUCUAGCCGUGCGGGCUUUAGCAGUUGUGGCACGUGGGCUUCAGUAGUUGUGGCUCGAGGGCUCUAGAGCACAGGCUCAGUAGUUGUGGCGCAUGGGCUCAGUUGCUCCGUGGCAUGUGGGGUCUUCCCAGACCAGAGCUGGAACCCUUGUCCCCUGCAUUGGCAGGUAGAUUCUUAACCACUGCACCACCAGGGAAGUCCUGAGACUUGACUUCUUAAACAAGCAAAAACUUCAUUCAUCUCUCAUAUAAUAGUCUACAGGUAGUGCUCUGGGCCAGUAUGGCUGCAUUGUUCAAGGGAAAAUAGGUGAUUGGAGCUCCAAAAUUCUACAACAUAGAAAAAUGCUGCAAUUAUCUUAUCUAAGAAAAAAAUUGAGUACAAAGAUAGAUUCUUGAAAAUCUCUAUCUAUUCUAAUAUUCUAUCUAAUACCUAAUAUUCUAAUAUCUAAUAUUCUCUAAUAGUCUAUCACUUAUCUUAUUAAUCUACUCCAGUGUAUCUUGCUGAAUCCAUUCCUCUCUGAACCAUAUGCUACAUACUAGAGCGUAUGUAGCUACAUACUAGAAUGACAAUGCUAGCUUUCUUAUUCCAUACUUCAACAAUUCUAAGAUGCAUAAUUUUUCCCACAUUUUGACAUCUCUGAAAUUGUCCUGGCUCUUACAAUCAGUGGCAUGUCAUAAUUGGUGGAUUUUUUUCUUUCUUAAUGGUACAUAAAUAAUAGUGUUUCUUAAAAGCAAUGGCAUGUUACAUUUAAUAAAACACAGUUAUUCAGUGCUUCAUGGUUCAAAGUAUUUUCAUCCUAUUUGAGCCUCGCAACAUCAUAUUUUGGUGAGAUGGGUAGUUAUUCCUAUUCCAAAUAUAGACAUUGAGAUUCAGAGAGCUUAAAUGACCUCUCCAAGGUCCUCAGCUAGACUGUGAUGAAGCCAUAACACUAAUCCGAACUCUCUAAAUUUGAAAAGUCUUGCUUUCUCCCAAUAUUACACAAAAUAUUUAGAGAAUGAAAUCUCCAUGGAAACAGGAAUUUUGUUUUAUUCACUACUAUAGCACCAGAGCAUAGAACAUUACUUGGCACAUAGCAGAUAUUCAAAGAUUUAUUGAAUGAAUUAAUAUUACAGAAGGGAAUGAGAGGACAGAAGGGAAAGAGCCCAUGGACUGAGGUGGGCUGGGAAGUUUAUACAGAGGGUGGCUAUCCUGCCAUUUUUUCUCUGCUUUGAUGAGCCUCUCAUUAAUCACUCAAAUAGCACUUACUCCAUGAUGCCUUAAGCUAAAUAUAUUCACUCCCUAAUGACUUGAUAGGCAACCUAGUAUAGUGCAAAGCCUACUGAUUUUUGCAUGAGAAGACCUGGUUUUAAAUCCCUUCUGAUUUUAACCACCUAUUAGCAAAAAACUUUGGGAUAAAUUACUUAGCUUCGGUUUUCUCACCUACACAAUUGGGAAUAAUAAAACCUACUGGAUUGCAUCAUUGUGAAACUUAAACAAGACCAGAUAUGUGAAUGUAUCUGACACAUAGUAGGAGCUCAAUAAUAUUAAUUCCUUUCUCUUUCCUACACCAUGCUACACUUGAUCUUGGUAAACACUUCCAUUUUUGUACUUUACAUUUUUCUUCACAUGAUUAUGGGUUUCUAAAAGAACCCCACCUGGUUGAUAUCCACCUCUGCAGAACCCAAGAGAGUGCCAGGCUCAUUCUAAAUGCCCUUAAGUAUUUUCAGAGUUUAUUCAUUCAUUUAUUUAAUCCAUAAAUAUUUAUUGUGUGCCUGUUAUGUGCCAGGCUCUUUUCUAAUUGCUGAAGCUCCACCAAUGAAUGGAACUAAUGAAAAUCCCUACCCCCUUGGAGGCAGAUGGACAGUACAUGAACAAAUAAUGUAUGGUGAUAAGUAUUAUGGAGAAAAAUAAAUAAAGCAGUUAGGAUAGGGGGUGGCCAGGGUUGACUUGUUGUAAUAUUAAUAUGAGUGUUAAAGAAAAGCCUUACUGACCAUUGUCCUUGUCCCCACGGUGAGUCACAGCUACCCCCCCACCCCCCGCAGGAGACCCUCCAACACUAGCAGAAUCACCCAGUCUGGAGGAUGCAGGGAAGAUGCUGAAUGAGACAGUGGUAGUGAACAACCCCCCAUACAGCUGGAGUGUAAGGCAACUGGAAAUCCCUUGCCUGCUAUUACAUGAUACAAAGAUAAUCGUCCACUAUUGUGUUCCAGUAGCGUGACUUUCUUGAACAGAGGACAGAUCAUCAAUAUUGAAAUCACCCAGAUCACAGAUGCUGGCAUAUAUAAAUGUGUGGCCAUCAACUCAGCUGGAGCUACAGAGUUAUUUUAUAGUCUGCAGGUCCAUGGUUAGUGCUACUUCUCCUAGAUUCCUCCUGAGGUAAAGAAGCAUUCAAAAUGAUUAAGUGCAUCUAUAAUAUUCUACAGUGAAUAUUUAACAGAAUGUGUUAUUGUCAUCUUUAUUUAAGGUUGCAGUGUUCUAAAACUGAUAAGCAUUUAUAUUUUCUGAUUCCUAUUAAAUGCUCUAUUUUCAAAAAAAAAAGAAAGAAAGAAAAGCCUUACUCGGUGACAUUUGAGAGAGACUUCAAGGAAAUAAGGGAAAUGCCAUGCAGAUAUCUGGGUUAAAUUUGAAGAGCAACAUAAAUAUUUGUAGGAAAAAUAAAUAGAAAAUAGUAGACAGAACAUUCCAUCAUGUGAGAACAUUUGACCAAAAACCUGAUAGACUUAAGUAGAAGGCCUGUUUGGGCAAUAUAAAAUGAACCAGUCCAACUGGAGUAUCAGGACCUUGAAUACCAAGAAAAGAAUUUGUAUUUUAUCUUAUAGACAAUGGUGAACUACUGGAGCCUUUUAUCCUAGAGGGUGUGACAAGAUCCAAACGUCACUACAGGAAGCUUAAUCUGGUAGAUCAACCCAUGCAGGAAAUAUUAAAGGGAAAGGAUAGCCGUUCCAUCAUAGACAUCUUGAGUUUGACAUCACGGUGGGUUUUCAAAAAGAACACGCUCAGGGAAAGGUCAAAAAUACAGGCCUGGAGUUGAGAGGUGAAGGCUUGAGAUUUGAGGGGUGUAGCGCAUCCAAAACCUGACAGCUGAUUGUAAUCAUCUUUCAAGAGUCAAAGACUCUGUUUGCGAGCAACAAACAGAUCUUGUUAGAAUUUUACUUCUAGCCUGAAAACUGGUAGAACAUUCCUCUUUGGAAUUUUCCAAACUUAGGCCAAGACUAGAGAAUCAAAGUCAGCAGAAAUGAGAAUGAUACGCAGGACCUGACAGGGAGACAUGCCAGAAAAUUAAGUAGGAAAAAACCCUGAAAGGUGGGGCACAACGUGCCUUGGGAAGCUCAGACUCUUGAGAAAUCUGGAAGAACAUAUAUCAUGCCAGAUGGUUCAGCCUUAUGGGAGGGCUUUUGUUUAAAAGUGUGCUCUGUGAAAUGAUUUAGAUACCCUUCAAAAAGCAACAUGCCACUGAUUCAUCCUGUCUGAAAAAACAUACAACCCCUCACAUUUGACUUUUUAAUCUCACAUUGAUUGGAAAUAACAAAAGUGAUCUCUUUGCCAUUUGGAGUAAUUUCUCAUUCACCCACCAACAAGCAGGAAGGAGGUCUCUGAAAACUGAACAGUGGGGUUUGCAAAGUUUGGGGAGAAAAGUUGCAGGAGGCAGUUGCAGCUUUAUAUAAGGUUCUUUUUUUUUUUUUAUCUAUUUAUUGGAGGCAUUGGGUUUUCGUUGCUGUGCGCAGGCUUCUCAUUGCAGUGGCUUCUCUUGUUGCAGAACGCGGGCUCUAGGUGCACGGGCUUCAGUAGUUGUGGCUCACAGGCUCUAGAGUGCAGGCUCAGUAGUUGUGGCGCAUGGGCUUAGCUGCUCUGCGGUAUGUGGGAUCUUCCCAGACCAGGGCUCGAACCCGAGUCCCCUGCAUUGGCAGGCAGAUUCCCAACCACUGCGCCACCAGGGAAGUCCCUAUAUAAGGUUGAGUCCCACCGAUAUGCUUGUGGCUAUGUGACAGUGGAAUCUACCACUGAGAAAAAGGAAAAUGAAACAUUAUUGAAAUAAACUUGGUUCUCAUGCACAAAAGCAAAGGGCUGCCAUUUUGUCUGGAAUCCUAAUCAGGUGUCUUAUAUGCCUAUAAUUAGUCACUGGCUCCUGGAAAGGAAAGAGACUAAAGGGAUGCAAAAAGAGAGGUCUUCCUUUCCUUGAAAUGUAUUUUCUUAAAUCUUUAAAUAUGUUGCUUACAUAACCCCCAAAAGAAUUUUUUUAAACUAUGUAACUCCUCACAUAUUUUAAGUUGUCGUCUAAAAUUUUUCAUCAGAGGAUAAGAUGAUGAUAGAUUGCAAUUGGGAUAAAUAUUUCAUGACACUAUUUGACAAAAUAGGCUUUAACUUCCCAACGAAUAAAAUACCCCAAGUCUUAAAGAGAUCAUGUAAAAAUUUUAUAAAUCAGUUUUAUCCGAAUCCAAAAAAUUUGCUUGUCUUGCAAGACAUUCCAGUUAACUUUAAAAGAAUCAGCAUCACUAACAUAUACUGUUUAGCUGUUCCAAAUCCAGAGCUUCCCCACAAAGGCCAGUUAUUCUACUUCUAAUGCCAAACUUCACUCAUAAUAGAAAUAUGAGUAAGAUAGGCAAAGAAGGGAAGCCCCAUGCAUGUAAGGAAACUUGAUUAAUAAUAAACAAAGGUGUCAUCACCAAACCAAUAUUUCUUUCUUGGGUUUUACUUCUACAUGCGUCUACAAAACAUAAGAACAUUUUCCUACACAGCCAAAAUAGCACUGUCGCACCUAACAAAAAUAGCAAGUCCAUAUUAAAAUUUCUCACAUGUCCCCCAAAUGCCCUUUAUGGGAUGGUUUAUUCAAUCCAGGAUUUAACCCUGGGCCAUAUAUUGCAUCUGGUUGUUAUAUCCCUUAAGUCUCUUUUAAUCUAGAACAUGCAUUCUACACAGGGAUGAUGUCACCAAGGGAGUGAAAACUGGUUCUUGGGAGAUGAAAAAUCUUACCUUUUUAUGUACAAAGCACAGAUAUACAUAUAGUACAUAAACAUAUACAGAGUAUGCCUGUAAUAUUGGAUUUUCAUGUUGCGGGGACAAUUAGGAAAAAAAAUGUCUAUAAAGGUCCCCAGGGGGCAGGGGGUUGAGCAAUGAUGAAAAAAAAAAGGUUGAGAAAUACUGAUCUAGAA